rnacentral:rRNA from 1 species
CUAUCUGCAGUCGAGCGAUGGAUUAAGAGCUUGCUCUUAUGAAGUUAGCGGCGGACGGGUGAGUAACACGUGGGUAACCUACCCAUAAGACUGGGAUAACUCCGGGAAACCGGGGCUAAUACCGGAUAAUAUUUUGAACUGCAUAGUUCGAAAUUGAAAGGCGGCUUCGGCUGUCACUUAUGGAUGGACCCGCGUCGCAUUAGCUAGUUGGUGAGGUAACGGCUCACCAAGGCGACGAUGCGUAGCCGACCUGAGAGGGUGAUCGGCCACACUGGGACUGAGACACGGCCCAGACUCCUACGGGAGGCAGCAGUAGGGAAUCUUCCGCAAUGGACGAAAGUCUGACGGAGCAACGCCGCGUGAGUGAUGAAGGCUUUCGGGUCGUAAAACUCUGUUGUUAGGGAAGAACAAGUGCUAGUUGAAUAAGCUGGCACCUUGACGGUACCUAACCAGAAAGCCACGGCUAACUACGUGCCAGCAGCCGCGGUAAUACGUAGGUGGCAAGCGUUAUCCGGAAUUAUUG